ensembl:lncRNA
UCUUUUCCUCUAGGCAAUGGACAGGAACACACACUCUCUCUUUCUCUCUCUCUCUCCAUGCAUGCAAACCACACAUACCUGGAAUUAAAACCUUUAGGAAAUGACAAUCCUUAAUCGCAUGUGUGCCGACCUUCACACGCUCCUGGUGGGAGAAAUAAAGGACUAUAAAAAUGGGUGUGCACAGAAAAUUGACCAGUUUCAGGACUAACGCUGGCAUCUAACAAAGGACUGGCCCCAAAGUCAGCAGAUUGCAAAUACUACCAAGAGGGCCAAGGAGAAAUUUCCAGACCAGAUCUGGAUCCCAGGAGAAGCCCGGCUGUUGCUGUUUCUCAACGGUAAAGAAUGCACCUGCCAGUGCAGAAACUGUAAGAGAUGUGGUUUGGAUUCCCAGGUCAGGAAGAUCCCCUGGAGGAGGAAAUGGCAACCCACUCCAGUAUUCUUGCCUGAAUUAUCUCAUGGACAGAGGAGCCUGGUGGGCUACAGUCCACGGAGUUGCAAACAAUUGGACACGACUGAGCACGCAGACACGACUGAAGUGACUUAGCAGCAGCAGCAGAGCAUGAAUGCACCUCUGGAAUGGCCAGCGAGAAGUUUCUCGGAGCAUCUGAAAUACCCUUGUGGCAGAAGAAAGAGAAUUUUUGCCUCCCGGAUUUAGGGGACUAUAAGCCGUCUGUCUAGAGGUCUGAAAUUCCUUUGAAGUCUCAUAUUUUGUCUUAAAAAAUAUCCAUGUGAACUUGGCAGUCUACUCCUUAAUAUAUUUGUGCUUAUUUAAUAUUAAGACAAAAUCCUCCUUUAUAUCUUCAAGUAAAACGGAAGUUCCAAACAGAAGCAUGAUUUAAUCUUACAGUUUCAGGAAUUAACUGGCCCACAGCUUGUACCACUGGGCACCCCAUACUUUCAGCUGGAAAGUGCUGAUGCGUGGCAAAUGAUUCUGAUGGUCAGCUGCAAUUUCUCUGCCUUGCCAGCGCACCACUAUUUAAUAGGUAGAGAGGAAACUUCUUGUUUGGCGGUGUCAGGAUUUCUAGUCCUUUGCAGGAAGAUGUGAAUUGCCUGAGGCAUGAAUUUGGAUCCCAUCAUAUAAUCCUUGAAUUUCACAUAUUUCAAAGGUAUGAACACAGAAAUAGGGUAAAGCAGGGAACAUAAGCAGGCACAAAGAAAUCAAUCCAAUGUCACUGGCUAUUCAAAUGGCAUUGUCUUCCAGGAGACUUUUGUCUCCAAACACUGAGAAAUCGUGGAAGUAAUUAGGAGGGAACCAUGUUGUGGCGGAGACAGUAAAUGACCUUAAUCUAGCCUCCCAUUGCAUGUUCUUGAAAUUAGUGUGCAGGCAUUCCAGCUCAUAGACACACUCACUAUAUACAUCUUGAAGAGAAGAUGCGGAUGAAAGAAGGGUAGCUCUUAUGAAGAGAGGUCAUAAGCUUUCAGUUCUGGGUUGACUUUUUUUGCUCUGUGUCUUCUUGAUGCAUCAACUUAUUUUCUGCGUUUUUCUGCAUUAUCUCCGCCUUGCUCCAAAGCCUUCUAGUCAGUUAGGAGAUAUAAAGGGAAGUUUAAGAAUCCUAACAUUAGGUGGGAGGGAGGUUCGAGAGGGAUAGGACCAAUGUAUACAUACAGUUAGUUCACUUCGUUGUACAGCAGAGAAUAACGCAACUUUGUAAAGCAAUCAGACUCCAAUAAAAAAGAUGAGAAGAAAAUAAAGUUUAAAAUUUUAAACAAAGAAAAAAGAAUCCAGACAUUGAGUUUGUGGCUAGUCAUAGAGUUUGUGCUUAAUAAAGUUAGCAGUGGAAAAG